GGUUAAGCGACUAAGCGUACACGGUGGAUGCCUAGGCAAUCAGAGGCGAUGAAGGACGUGCUAAUCUGCGAUAAGCGUCGGUAAGGUGAUAUGAACCGUUAUAACCGACGAUUUCCGAAUGGGGAAACCCAGUGCAAUUCGUUGCACUAUCGUUUGAUGAAUACAUAGUCAAACGAAGCGAACCGAGGGAACUGAAACAUCUCAGUACCUCGAGGAAAAGAAAUCAACCGAGAUUCCCCUAGUAGCGGCGAGCGAACGGGGAGCAGCCCAGAGUCUUAAUCAGCAUUAGCAUCAGGAGAACGGUCUGGAAAGGCCGGCAGUAAAGGGUGAUAGCCCCGUAUCCGAAGGUGUUAGUGUUGUGAACUCGACGAGUAGGGCGGGACACGUGUUAUCCUGUCUGAAUAUGGGGGGACCAUCCUCCAAGGCUAAAUACUCCUGAUUGACCGAUAGUGAACCAGUACCGUGAGGGAAAGGCGAAAAGAACCCCGGCGAGGGGAGUGAAAUAGAACCUGAAACCGUGUACGUACAAGCAGUGGGAGCACCCUUGUGGUGUGACUGCGUACCUUUUGUAUAAUGGGUCAGCGACUUAUAUUCUGUAGCAAGGUUAACCGUAUAGGGGAGCCGUAGGGAAACCGAGUCUUAACUGGGCGAAUGAGUUGCAGGGUAUAGACCCGAAACCCGGUGAUCUAGCCAUGGGCAGGUUGAAGGUUGGGUAACACUAACUGGAGGACCGAACCGACUAAUGUUGAAAAAUUAGCGGAUGACUUGUGGCUGGGGGUGAAAGGCCAAUCAAACCGGGAGAUAGCUGGUUCUCCCCGAAAGCUAUUUAGGUAGCGCCUCGUGAA
rnacentral:rRNA from 1 species